rnacentral:rRNA from 1 species
UGGGGAAUUUUGGACAAUGGGGGCAACCCUGAUCCAGCCAUCCCGCGUGUGCGAUGAAGGCCUUCGGGUUGUAAAGCACUUUUGGCAGGGAAGAAACAGCCUGGGAUAAUACCCCGGGCGACUGACGGUACCUGCAGAAUAAGCACCGGCUAACUACGUGCCAGCAGCCGCGGUAAUACGUAGGGUGCAAGCGUUAAUCGGAAUUACUGGGCGUAAAGCGUGCGCAGGCGGUUCGGAAAGAAAGGUGUGAAAUCCCAGGGCUUAACCUUGGAACUGCACUUUUAACUACCGAGCUAGAGUACGUCAGAGGGGGGUAGAAUUCCACGUGUAGCAGUGGAAUGCGUAGAGAUGUGGAGGAAUACCGAUGGCGAAGGCAGCCCCCUGGGAUGAUACUGACGCUCAUGCACGAAAGCGUGGGGAGCAAACAGGAUUAGAUACCCUGGUAGUCCACGCCCUAAACGAUGUCAACUAGCUGUUGGGGUUUAUUAACCUUAGUGCGCAAGCUAAACGCGUGAAGUUGACCGCCUGGGGAGU